ACCCAGGUUCAAUUCUCAGCACCCACGUGGCAGCUCACAUAGUUUGUUACGCCACUUCCAGGGGAUCUGGCAGGACUCCUGCGUCAUCCUCCGGAGUACUGAAAUGUCAGGUGCGCCCUCCGUGCCCGGUUUGCACCUUGUUUAUUGAAAGGAAAAUUGUUAAGUUGGUGGGGUAAGAGCGUUACAGAGAAUUCUGGGACGUGUAGUCCAGACUCUUUUUGGUGGUCAGAGCACUUCUACGGGAAAGCUCGACUUUGGCAGUGUUCCGUGGGAGAAACUAGAGUAUAAUCCGCAUAUUUGGCGGGAUUCCGGCUGCUGGAGGGCUAGAAAGCAAAGACAGUUAAUCCGAGGACUCUAGGAAAUGCCACUCACGCACGCAUGCGGCGUCGGCACAAACUCCCUAGGAAUCCUGGGAGUUGUAGUUCCGGAGCUUGGCGUUGCCAGCGCGUUUCGCCUGCAGAGGUUGGAGAGCCAGUGCAUGCAUUCCUGCGGGGAAGCAGGUUGCAGGGACCUCUCUUUCAUGGACCCCAUCGUGUCCUUCUCAGAGUGGCCAGCAUUGGACCUUCGAGGAGGAGUUAUCCAAUGAGUAAGUGUGAUUCAUGUAGCUGUCUAACAGGCAGCUAGAACAGGGUGCUACUAUGGCUUGGGAUUAGACGGAAAAAGAGGGACAAAAUUUGUUCCUUGGUGAAGGAGACUCCCUGACAGUGGGGAUUUCCUCCCAGACUCCGGAUUAGGCACGAACCACACCCAAACACAGAGAUCCUUUAUUAAGCCAGGAAGAAAAGUGAAAGUAGCUGCUUUCUGACUCAGGCAGACAAGCAGCAGCAAAUGACCUGUGGGUGUCAUUUUUAAGAGAAGAAGGGGGCGUGUAGUGACAAAUGGGCUAUGAUACUAUAGUAAAGGAGAUAGGGGACUAGGGAGAAGGGGACGGGAACAAGGGAAAGGGGCAAGGGUAUUUGUCCCCAAAUGGGGGACAAAGAACUGCCUUUGGAUAGAGAGGAGACAGAUGUGGGUCACAGGAAGAUAGUAAUUUGUAAAGGUAAAGGGGAAACCCUGUGUUAGGAUAAGGUGUUUCAUUUUAAUUGGGCAUGUUGAUUAGGGCUUUGAUAGCUGGACCUUGGUAGUCGGCCUCAGGAGAAGGAAGUGGCCACAUAAGGGAAUAGACCCAGCCAGCUUUAGGAAUGUAAUCUAAUGAUUUUUAGCAAGGCAUAGGGUAUGGUGGAAGGGCAAGGCCUGCCAGAGCCGGGCUCGACACACUUGAGCUGGCCAGAGUUACUUUAAUUGGCCUGUGUGUAUUUGGUGAGUUAUAGAGUCCAUCAACAUAAGAGAAUUCAAAAAUCAAUGUAGUUAUGACCCUGGACAAAUACUGGCAGGCAGGUGUUGCAGCAGCCGCUGAGAGAAACACACACACACACACACACACACACACACACACACGCACACACACACACACACACGCACACGAAGCAGAGAGCUAAGUGGGAAUGGCACAAGGUUUGUGGAGCCAUCCCUCCAGUUCCCCCCGCCAGAGUUCUUUCACCUUCUAAACCACCCUCCCUUAUCCCUGGAUCUGAGUUAAUCCUGUAUGUGUGACGCUGACUUCUGUUUGUCGAUUUUUAUCUUC
rnacentral:lncRNA from 1 species